rnacentral:rRNA from 1 species
UGUUUCGGCUAGGGGGCCAUCCCGGCUUACCAACCCGAUGCAAACUGCGAAUACCGGAGAAUGUUAUCACGGGAGACACACGGCGGGUGCUAACGUCCGUCGUGAAGAGGGAAACAACCCAGACCGCCAGCUAAGGUCCCAAAGUCAUGGUUAAGUGGGAAACGAUGUGGGAAGGCCCAGACAGCCAGGAUGUUGGCUUAGAAGCAGCCAUCAUUUAAAGAAAGCGUAAUAGCUCACUGGUCGAGUCGGCCUGCGCGGAAGAUGUAACGGGGCUAAACCAUGCACCGAAGCUGCGGCAGCGACACUGUGUGUUGUUGGGUAGGGGAGCGUUCUGUAAGCCUGCGAAGGUGUGUCGUGAGGC